GCCGCGCGUGCGCACUUGGCGCGGGGUGGGGGGGAAGGAGGGGCCCGCGCUCCUACCUGUAGGUGGCCAACGCCGGGCGCUGGGCCGCCGCUCCUGCCUUGCACGUUAGAGAGCCGGUACAUGCAGGUGGGAAGCUCCACACGGAGAGGCGCGCCGCGCCCGUGAUAAGGUUUUACCUGGUACAUCGGCAUGGCGGAACCAAAGCAAGAGAGGGUGGCGCGUGCCAAACACCAACGCUCAGAAACCGUCCGAGGCUACGACUGGGGGCGGACAUCUCCCUUGUGACCCUGCUGCGGUCGUUCGGGAAAAAAAAAAAAAGCAGUCCGGUGUGCUCUGAUUGGCCCAUGCUCUUUGACGUCACGGACUCGACCUUUGACGGAGCUAAUAGGCGAAAAGGAGAGACGGGAAGUAUUUUUUCCGCCCCGCCCAGAAAGGGUGGAGCACAACGUCAAAAGCAGCCAAUGGGAGCCCAGGAGGCGGGGCGCCUGUGGGAGUCGUGGAGGGAACUUUCCCAGGCCCCGAGGCGGAUCGGGUAUUGAGUCCAUGGAGCGAGCUGAGAGCUAGAGUACAGAACCUGCUAAGGCCAUCAAACCUAUCGAUCGGAAGUCAGUCCAUCAGAUUUGCUCUGGGCCGGUGGUACUGAGUCUAAGCACUGCGGUGAAGGAGUUAGUAGAAAACAGUCUGGAUGCUGGUGCCACCAAUAUUGAUCUAAAGCUUAAGGACUAUGGAGUGGAUCUCAUUGAAGUUUCAGACAAUGGAUGUGGGGUAGAAGAAGAAAACUUUGAAGGCUUAACGAUGUCACCAUUUCUACCUGCCACGCAUCGGCGAAGGUUGGGACUCGACUGGUGUUUGAUCACGAUGGGAAAAUCAUCCAGAAAACCCCCUACCCCCACCCCAGAGGGACCACAGUCAGCGUGAAGCAGUUAUUUUCUACACUACCUGUGCACCAUAAGGAAUUUCAAAGGAAUAUUAAGAAGACGUGCCUGUUUCCCCUUCGCCUUCUGCCGUGAUUGUCAGUUUCCUGAGGCCUCCCCAGCCAUGCUUCCUGUACAGCCUGCAGAACUGGACCAUUGCAAGCUGCAGAAAAUGAGAAGACCCUACUGACCAGCCCAAGAAGACAGAUGACAAGAUACUGAGGAUGGCCGUAUAAGAAAAUAAACAACUUGCUAAAACUGCUGAAACUCCCUCUGCUUGUGAGAUUUAAAAAAACUGGCUGAAAUUGGUUGGAACCAACAUGUCCAAUGGAGUCUGAAUAGAAAGAGCUUGCUGACAUCACAGCCCGAAUUUCCACCACAUUUCAUACUAACUCCCCCUGAAUUUGCAUAUGCAAACCACAAGCAAGCAUGAUCAAACAGACAACUGCGCGUGUCCGAGGACUUUCCAGAUCUCCCCUUUCCUUCCACCAAUCACUUACUAAUCUGAGAAUCCAUCCCCUAAUAAAAUCACUGCCUUAAAGCCUGCACAGGAAGACAAAUUUGAGCUGGACUCAGUGUCUCUUUAUUAGUCGACUUGCAAUAAAAAAGCUUUCUUUUCCCCCCUCAAAAACCCUAUGUCAAUUAGUAUUGGCUUCCAGAGCAUCAGGUAGUGAGCCCCUUUUGCUCAGUAACAGAGCUUAAGGUGAAUAAAAAAGGCAAAUAAUGAUAUGGUUCAAGACAUCAUUACGAAAGCAUGGCUGGAAAACUGCUAGCCUUACCAAGUGCAUAAAAAACAUGAAAAUUAUUUAUUGAUAAGCAUUAGUCAUAAAAGUGUACUCUACCUCAAUUUAAAUACUGCUUAUGUGUGGAUUACACAAACAACCAUGUAUGCAGUAGCUACUUCAAAGGACUUUCUUUUUAAUAUUUAAAAAGUUAGUUCACUGAAUCAUAGAGUUGUUAGAUAAAAUCUUGUCUUCGUGAGAACAGCUUUUGAAAAUAUUUUAAUAUUUUAUUACUCAGCAAAAAUAGCCAUGAAGCACUGAGGGGAGAUUUAGUUUGGGAAUGGAAUGAGAGAAUGCCUGCUGCGGUUCAUUAUCAUGACUCCACCCAUUCCUUAUGACUCUAUGAUGCUUUAUGGUAUUUUCACAUAAAAGUUCUCAUUUUUGCCAGACAAAACCCUUUGAGGAGGCUAGGCACGGUGGCUCAUGCCUGUAAUCCCAGCUCUUUGGGAGGCUGAGGCGGG
rnacentral:lncRNA from 1 species